AACUAGAGCACACAAAAGGAAAAAAAAGGGAUCCGUGCUAUUUAGGAAUGCAUACUUAAGUAAUAAAAUAAGGAAAACAAAAUCAAAACAAUCCAAACUCCAUGAUUACGAGUCAGGGAAGCAGGUCACCUUAGGGAGGGCGGGAGGGAGGAGGCACAGAGCACUUGGAAGGGAGCUCCCAGGAGCUGUAUCCCUCCUGUUCUGACAGGGUGGUGGCUGCCUGCCACUCACCCCAUGUCAUCUCACUAACCUGCACCCUUAUGGUUCAUGCAUCUUUGUGUCUGUGUCAUUUUUACAAUACAGAUGGUAUUUCAAAGUGUAAGUGUGCAGGAGGUCAGAUGAGGUCAGUGACAAAAGAUAAUAGCUGAUGUGUGUUCCCAGGCGAGAGAAGGUGCUGAGCCACUGGAGAGAGGGAGGGACCAUGCCUGUGUUGUGGUGCACAGAACAAGAGUUCCAUCAAGAUGGGCAGAAUAGGAUGUCAAGGCCCUUGGUGGGCUGGGUGGGGUUCCCUUGACUUUGUGGCUGUGCCCAAAGCUCCAACAGCUAUCUGCACUGAGCCCUAACUCCAGGCACUAAAAUAGCGGCAAGCUGAGGGCGCCACACUGAGGACGGCCCUUAGGCUUCCCUCCCUGUCGCGCACCCCCUCUCCCCUUUCUCUCAGGACUGAUCCUGGUAUCCUGUGGCAGACAGCCCUGCUCUGCCCCAGUCAUGUCCAGAUGCAUACUAACUUCUCUUGCUGACACAAAGUGGGCUCCUGGAGCAUCUGGAGAGGCCUAGAGCCCACUGCUUCCCUUUCUGCUCCUAUUUUGGUGCUCAUCUGAGACACUGGCUGGUGACUGGGCCCUGCUACCUUGCCCGGUUUGUGCUAGGCCAAAUCUCACCCAGAGUCAUCAUCAAUUCCAUGGGCUCUGGGCUGACUCUCCCAAUGAGUUCAGUGCUGCUUACAUUUGACACGGUGAACUAGGAGGUAACACCUAGAAAGGCAGGGGGCAAGGAUUGUGAGCUGAAGGGCAAGUCAGAGUAGCUCUGGGAUCACAGCAGCAGGCUCCGAAAUGGGCUCCUUUUACCCUCUCCGCCCAUUCUACCAACUGUAGGCAGACCAUCAGACCUCUGGGUAUGUGCUGGGUGUGCAGUGCACAACCCCAGGGCGCCAUCACCAUCAACUACAAUACACACGGUGUCCCUUGGAGUGAGCAGCAAGCCUGCCUCACUGCUUUCCAGUGUAACCUGACUUGGCAUCUUUCCACGCUCCCUUCAGGCUUCAGCCCUCCCCACAGUCACACUCCUACUGCUUCCUCCCAGGCCGUGCGGGCUUUUGUACUGAGCACUGCUGCUCCAGCAUCUGAGGGCUCUUCCCAAAGACUUGGCCCCCGAGUCCUGCAGGCUCUGCUCAGAGCCACACCUCCUCAGGGACAACUUCCCCACCCAGAACGGGUGCUGGACAUGGGAUGCUGCUUCCUGUCGGCCAUGCCUCUGUGCUCUGCCUUCGUAGUAUUUAUCCAAUUCCGAGUCAGUGGCAGUGUGCUUGUCUAGUCUGCCUGGAUCAGCCUUGCCGUGCAGAGAUUCCCCCAGUGUCCUAAUAGAUCCACGUGACAGUGGCUGCCCAAAGUCUCAGAAGUCAAGGAAGAAAGUUCCAUGAGGAGGGAGUAGACAACAGGACCACAUGCUACCAAGAAGGUAACAAGGCAGAGGACUAGAGAGGUCCAAGGGGAUAUGGCUCCAGAUGAUGGCUCAGGAAGGCAGCCGGGCGGUGAGCAGGUAGAGGAAGGCACUCACAACACAGUGGACAGACAAGAGAUGGAAAUGGGAGGGGGUCUGAGGGCCACACAUCAAAUGCAGCCCUGGAAAAGCAGCUAUGGGUGGAGGCUGGGGAUUUGCUUUUGAAAGACAGGUGAGUUCCAAAGAUGACAGAGGAAAUCACUGUCCCAUAUGGGAGAACAUUCCCACUGGCCCUUUUAUGUCAACGUAACAUCCACUAAAGUUUGAAGUCCAUCAUCACUGCCGUGUGGGACCCCAGGGGUUGGCUUCUUUGAAUAAGUUUUCUCAAUGGUAAAAGUGGGUAAUACCUUUAUGAAGAACACCUGAAAUACAUUAAGGAUUCUCUCCUCCCCCCAACAGUAGUUUCCUUCCCGUCUUCCCACCUUGGCUCAUUAACAGAGCUGUUAGGUAUGGCUGCGUUGGCAAGAGUCACUAUCCACAUAAAUGAAGCCCUGCUUCUUCAGAAGGUCUGAGUAAUCUUCACCAUCAUCACCAGGUAUACAUUGGGGCAACAGGGUGACUGCUUAUCAUUUGUUCUCACCUAGAAAGCCAACUGCCGGCCACCCUGGUUGGCCCAGGCAGACUAGAAGAGCACCGAGAGACUGAGCUAUCUCAAUGUGGAGAGAACUGAGGGUGCCUAGGAAUGCCUGGAGACUCCACGCUGUGUAAACAGAGUCUGGCUGAAUGAAUGGUGUGAUUAGUGGCUCACACUCCUGUGUGCCUGUCCAUGCUGGCCCAGGAUGGACCCCUCUCUGGAAGCAGACAGGACUGUGGGACUGUGAGUCAGAGCCCACCAGCAGUGGUUGUCUAAUGGCUGGGGCCAGGGGAACCAGGUCAGAGCCAAGGUGACUGGAGGAGAGAGCAGCCUUGAGCCAAGGGGAAGGACUCGCGGGUGCCUCUCUUCCCCACUGGCACCAGGGACUCCAGAUAUUCGAGAACCAUCCAUGUUGAGGUUUUAAUAAAAGAAUUGACCCAACAGAUGUGGGUAUUUAUGGGCUACCACGUGGUACCUCCAUCCUUAUAUAUUUUACAUACUGAGCAAAUUAGGGUGAUUAGCAGAGCCACCACCAGAAGCCUUCACCUAUCAUUUCUUUGCAGUGUGAACAUUCAAAAUCUUUCCCUAACUAGUGCACAAUGUUUGCUUAUUAGAUUCCUCUCCCAGAGCAGAACAGCAGGACUUAAUCCUCCUGCCUGAAUGUAGCUUUGUAACCAUGAGUAGCCUCAUACCCUAAUCCUUACCCACCCAAUCACUGGUUGUCCACACUUCGAUCCUGCCUGUGCUAGGCUUCUCCCGAGUCUUCACCUGUCUGGGUACAGUGGGGUCUUGACUGUAUUCGAGGGUGAAUCCACUAGAAUGGUAAUUAGGGAGAGGCAUGUGCAUUUCAAGACACGCACCUCCUCCCGAGCUUCCAGUAGGCAGCACUCCACUUGAUUCCAUGAGAUCAACUCCUCUGGAUUCCCCAUGAGUGAGAUGGUGUGCUAUUUUUCUAUGUCUGGCUUAAGUGACUUAAGAUCAUGUCCUCCAGGCCUAUGCAUGUUGUCACAAAUAACAAGGGUUCAACUUUUUUAUGGCUGAAUAGUACUCCAUAGUGUACAUAUACCACAUUGCUUUUCUGUUCAUCCACUGACAGACACUUAGGUUGGUUUCAUCUCCUAGCUGCUGUGAGUCGUGCUAUGAUUGUGUGUUUCUCUGAUGUAUUAAUUUAAUUUCCUUUGGAUAGAAACCCAGUAGUAGGAUUGCUACAUUGAUGAGUAGCUCCAUUUACAAUUUUUUUGAUUGGUUUAUUUUUAUUUUAUAUGUGUUUUACCAGCAUGUAUUUGCAAUGCCCGUAGAGGCCAGAAAAGGGUGUCAGAUCCCUUGGAACUGUAGUUAUGGAUGGUUGUUAGCUGCCAGGUGGGUGCUGGGAAUCAAACCUGGGUCCUCUGCAAGAGCAGCCAGUGCUCCUUAACCACUGAGCCAUCUUUCUAGUCCCCAUUUAUAAUUUUUUGAGGACCAUCUCUCCUACUAUUUUUCUUAGUGUUGGUACCAGUGUGCAACGCCACCAACAGCGUGUAAGGGUUCUGCCAUGGCCCCUGGGAUUUUUUGCUGGCCUGGGACCGUGUAGACCUACAAGUGGGUCUGUGGAUCAUGGAGUGUGCUGACCUCCUAUUCCUGCUGUAAUGAAUUAUCGCUGUACUCCCUCUGUGGCUCUGUGCAGAGCUCUUCCCCCAGGCUUGUCUCUGGCUGGGCUUCCUACAUGCCUUGGCUUAUAGCUCUCUUCCAUCUUUCAAGCAGGGACAGCUGGGUGAGCCUUUCUCACGUUCCAUCCACCCUGACCCUCUUGCCUCUCUCUGCCCCUUGUCAGGACUGCUGCAAUGAUGUGGGGGCUUCUGGGAUAGUCUGGAAGGAUCUUCUCAUCUCAAGCUCAUCAGUUCAAUGCCUGCAAAGCUUUUUCCAUGUAGCAUGUGAACAGAUUCCAAGGAUCAGGACAGAGCGAAACUGAGAGGAAGUUACAGUGACGUCCCCUAUCUCCCCGCCGCUCAGCUCCUGGCACUGUCUCACCCAUCAUGGACACCUUGCAGCAUGGGGCCAUCACUGGCCCCUGGAGGCCACAGCACUGCUCCAAAACAGACUCUCGAGCUACGAGCUGGGAAGGAUAACACUGUAGAGAUGGCCUGGGUUCCUCAGGAAGACACAUUCCAGGAUAGGCUGUGCUGGCUAUAAAAUGCUGAAUGCCAAGUGUGAUAAAGGCAACGAACACAGGACACACGAAGACAGCAACUGCCUGUCCCUCAGCCUCACUGGGGCAUGAGUCAUGCUGCGAAUGGCCUGCUGUUCUCUAUGUGUAGUGUUGUCUUCUGGCAGAUAGGCCCAAAGCAUCCUAUUCCUAUUACACCUUUCUGAAGCUUAGCAGAGUUAAGUACCCAGAAGGUGUAGAAGAAAGAUUUCUCAUUAGGGCAGGAGAGAUCUGUUGCUUAGGAGCACCCUGGGUCAUUGUCACAUACUCCUCUCCUAUUAGCAUCUGAUCCCCAAAAGCUCAGCUCAAAGCCUUUUUGUCCUGUAAACAGGCCUGGCCAUUUACCAGCCCUAAAAGUUUUCCUCCACUGACUGAUGGCAGAGUAGUCUCCUGGUUAUCAGUUCCAGAUCCCUGGAUGGCCCUGGAUUCCCAGGCAGCUGUGUGCAUGCAGAGCUGGCCCUCUUGCAGCGUGUUUAUUUGGAAAAAGAACAGGAACAAGCAAGCACAAUGAUGACCUUUUGCUAAGUGGGCAUGAAGUUGGAAAAUAAAAUUGCAUUUGAGUAUUUAAUGGGGCUAGGAGCAGAGUGAGAUAGUCACAGGGAGAGAGAUUGCACUGUCAUUGUGGAAAUCACACAGCCAUAUGUGAAUGGAAACUUCAUCCAACAGUCUGGAAAACAUGGUUUGAGGUCCCAGCUGUGCUCUGCUGGGGGAGGGGGGCUGAGAAGCAGCAGCCAGGACCACACACACAGAUGCACACACACACACACACACACACACACACACACACACACAUACUCCCUCACAUGUCUCCCCCCAAUACUUGCUCAUCAUUUGUUUAAAUAUGAUUUAAACAGCUUUCAGGUUAUGCUGCUCAAUGGUUCACACAGAUGCAUGGGCAUGGCACACUCACAGCCUUCCUCCUGACUCUACACACCUCAUAAACCUAUAUAUGAUAUACCUUCAGGUAUAUAUAUCACAGACUCUCCCAACAAAACCAUGUAAAGGUCAGGUACACACCGCUGCACACUAGCAUGCACUCUUUCAUUCUUUUCACACUUACCAGGUAUAAGCCAACAUUCACUGGAUGCCUCUCCCAUGCCUCCCAACACAUAGCACACACAAGCCCACUUGCCAUUCACCUAGCUGUCCUUCUGACUAUCUAACGAACAUGCUUCAAACUGUCACAGAACUUAGCCUCCACCAGUUACUAAAUGUGG